AUCUUAGUCUUCAAUUUGCCAAAAUUGAAAAAAACAAUUUCUCUGCUUGCUACUUGACAUUCGCCUCGCUCGCUUUUGGUUAUUCGUGCCGCUCGCCGCUCAAUACUCGCCUGGUUGUUGCUUGACGCUCGCACCACUUGACGCUCACCGCUCCCCUCUCUUAGCCAACCUCACUUGUCACUGAACUCAUUGGAUUGGUCUGAUCCUCGAUCGCCUUUUUAGGAAUAAAAAAAUGAAAAAAAAAUUAUCAAUUGAUCCCGGAUUGACCCUGGAAUCAAACCAAACCCAUUAGGUUUGUCUAGUCAUCGAUCAUAAGCUUAAUAGGGUCGGUUCUCGGUCUUGAAAAUUGAAUAUCAACACUGUGCAAGUUGGUCUUAGGGUUAGAGGAUAGAUCAGCCCAACCCGAACCAUGCUCACUCCUAUCCACUGCCAUUUUGAUAUAGUUUUAAUUACAUAUGUUGGUUGUUUGCGUCGACACUAUUCUCCAAAUUAACUGAGUCGAAAAUUUGGAUAUUGUCAAAAUUUAAUAUAUAAACCUUAUAGUUAAUUUUAAUCAAAAAAGAAAAAAGACUUUUUAAGAUAUUUUGAAAAUAAAAUAAUUACACAUUUUAGUAAAAGUACUUAUUUAAACAAAGUCCAUGAAUUUCAAUAUAGUAUUUAAACUUUUAAUUUGUUCCAGGACUAGUUUGAAUAUGUAAUAAAGUUCGAAAUUACAUUAAACAAAUUAAAAAUUAAUGCGCCAUACUAUACAUCAAGCUAAAGUUUAAGGAUCACAUUUAUGAAUUAUAUUAUACAUUGAGCUAAAAUUUAGGGGUUAUAUUAAAUAAAUUAAAAAUUUACAGGUUACGUUACAUAUUGAAUCAAAGUUUAAGGGCUAUUUACGUUAUUUUUUCCGAAAUAAAAAGCUUCAUGGAAAGGCAUCUUUAUAAGAUCCAACAAGUGACCCACUAUGUUUUGCAAUUUUUUCCAUAAAUAAGCGACACUUGAAUUGGACAUAAAGAGUGAACUGGAUCAGAACAGAACCUGAAAUCUGGAGGCGACCGACGUGUCCGGUG
rnacentral:lncRNA from 1 species